UAAAAUUAUUUUACAUAAUAUAUUAGAAAUGAAAUUUUAUUCGUUUUUAAAGGUAUCUAGUUCUUUAAGAAAUAAAUUUAAUUUAUAAAUUUUUUAUUAUUUAAUUUUUUAUAUUAAUUAAAUAAAUAUUUAAUUUAAAUAUUUUAUAGGAUAAGCUAUAAAAUAAAUUUUUAAAAAUUAUUAAUUUUAAUAAAUAAAUAUAAACUUAUAAAUAGUUAUUAUUAAUAAAAAUGUUAUAAUUUAUUUAAUUUAUAUAUGUAAUAUAUAUAUAUAUAUAUUUAUUAUUUAUUAUUUAUUUUAAAAUUUUAUUAAAGUAUUUAUUUUAAUUUAAAAAAUAAAAAAAUAAUGAUAAAAUUAGUAUAUAUUAAUUGUAUAAAUAAUUAUAAUUGAUAGGUUUUUAUAAAGAAUUUGGCAAAAUAAUAAUAUUCGCCUGUUUAACAAAAACAUGUCUUUUUGUUUUUUUUAAAAAGUCUAACCUGCCCAAUGAGUAAUAAUUUAAAUGGCUGCAGUAUUUUGACUGUACAAAGGUAGCAUAAUCAUUAGUCUUUUAAUUGAAGGCUGGAAUGAAUGGUUGGACGAAAUAUUAACUGUUUCAUUAAAAUUUAUAUUAGAAUUUUAUUUUUUAGUUAAAAAGCUAAAAUAUAAUUAAAAGACGAGAAGACCCUAUAAAUCUUUAUAUUUAUAUUAUAAUUAAUUUAUAGUUUUUUUUAUUAUAAUAAAUAGUAUUUUGUUGGGGUGAUGUUAAAAUUUAAUAAACUUUUAAUUUAUUAUAUCAUUAAUAUAUGAAUAAUUGAUCUGUUAUUAACGAUUAAAAAAAUAAGUUACUUUAGGGAUAACAGCGUAAUUUUUUUGGAGAGUUCAUAUUAAUAAAAAAUAUUGCGACCUCGAUGUUGGAUUAAGAUAUAAUUUUAGGUGUAGUUGCUUAAAUUUUAAGUCUGU
rnacentral:rRNA from 1 species